UACGUACGAGGCGAGCGUUAUCCGGAAUUACUGGGCGUAAAGCGUGCGCAGACGGUUGCGUAAGUCAGAUGUGAAAGCCCCGGGCUCAACCUGGGAAUUGCAUUUGAGACUGCGUAGCUAGGGUGCGGAAGAGGGAAGCGGAAUUUCCGGUGUAGCGGUGAAAUGCGUAGAUAUCGGAAGGAACACCAGUGGCGAAAGCGGCUUCCUGGUCCAGCACCGACGUUCAGGCACGAAAGCGUGGGGAGCAAACAGG
rnacentral:rRNA from 1 species